AAUUUUCUUCUUCUUUUUCCAUUGAUUAAAAAAAAAAAAGAAAAGUGGAAAUUUAAAAAGAAACAAAAGAAAGCUCAUUCUCAUUCUAACUGUAAAAAAAAGCUUGAGAGAAGAAAAACACAAGACUGCAAGAGUCUGAGUCUGAUUACCGAAUCUUCAGUUGUUCACUAAACAACAGCAAAAUAAACUUAAAAAAUUGCCCCCCC
rnacentral:lncRNA from 1 species